GACGAACGCUGGCGGCGUGCUUAACACAUGCAAGUCGAACGGAAAGGCCCUGCUUUUGUGGGGUUCUCGAGUGGCGAACGGGUGAGUAACACGUGAGUAACCUGCCCUUUACUUUGGGAUAAUUUCUGGUAACUGGGGCUACUACCGCCUAGUAGCUCCUCCUGCAUGGUGGGGGUUGGAAAGUUUCGGCGGUUGGAGAUGGACUCGCGGCUUAUCAGCUUGUUGGUGGGGUAUUGGUUUACCAAGGCUUUGACGGGUAGCCGUCCUGUGAGGGUGACCAGCCUCAUUGGGACUGAGAGACGGCGCAGAGUCCUACGGGAGGCAGUAGGGGGGAAUAUUGCACAAUGGGGGGAAGCGUGAGGCAGCAACGCCGCGUGCGGGAUGACGGCCUUGGGGGGGUAAACCGCUUUCGCCUGUGACGAAGCGUGAGUGACGGUAAUGGGUAAAGAAGCACCGGCUAACUACGUG
rnacentral:rRNA from 1 species